rnacentral:lncRNA from 1 species
CUGCCACAGCUCCGUCCUCCACCAUGUCCAACACAGCAGAACUGCGUAGAAGCUUCCCAUCUGCAGCUUUGGGUCCUUUAUGUUUGUCUUCUCCUGACAUCAAUUGGUACUGGGGGACUUAGGCCUUGCGUUGUCACCUUUGCUGCUGACCAAUUUGACUUGAAAAAAUCUAAACAUGAUCAGUCUCAAAGUUGGAAUUUCUACAACUGGUAUUAUUUCUGCAUGGGAGUGGCUACACUUGCUGCUCUAACCCCCUUUAUGUUUGUCUUCUCCUGACAUCUAUUGGUGCUGGAGGACUUAGGCCAUGCGUUGUCACCUUUGCUGCUGACCAAUUUGACUUGAAAAAAUCUAAACAUGAUAAGUCUCAAAGUUGGAAUUUCUACAACUGGUAUUAUUUCUGCAUGGGAGUGGCUACACUUGCUGCUCUAACCAUAGUAGUCUAUAUCC